GGUUAAGCGACUAAGCGUACACGGUGGAUGCCCUGGCAGUCAGAGGCGAUGAAGGACGUGCUAAUCUGCGAAAAGCGUCGGUAAGGUGAUAUGAACCGUUACAGCCGGCGAUGUCCGAAUGGGGAAACCCAGUGCAAUUCGUUGCACUAUCGUUUGAUGAAUACAUAGUCAAACGAGGCGAACCGGGGGAACUGAAACAUCUAAGUACCCCGAGGAAAAGAAAUCAACCGAGAUUCCCCCAGUAGCGGCGAGCGAACGGGGAGCAGCCCGGAGUCUGAAUCAGCUUGUGUGUUAGUGGAAGCGUCUGGAAAGUCGCAGGGUACAGGGUGAUACUCCCGUACACUAAAACGCACAGGUUGUGAACUCGAAGAGUAGGGCGGGACACGUGGUAUCCUGUCUGAAUAUGGGGGGACCAUCCUCCAAGGCUAAAUACUCCUGACUGACCGAUAGUGAACCAGUACCGUGAGGGAAAGGCGAAAAGAACCCCGGCGAGGGGAGUGAAAAAGAACCUGAAACCGUGUACGUACAAGCAGUAGGAGCCCACUAGUUGGGUGACUGCGUACCUUUUGUAUAAUGGGUCAGCGACUUAUAUUCUGUAGCAAGGUUAACCGUAUAGGGGAGCCGCAGGGAAACCGAGUCUUAACUGGGCGUUAAGUUGCAGGGUAUAGACCCGAAACCCGGUGAUCUAGCCAUGGGCAGGUUGAAGGUUGGGUAACACUAACUGGAGGACCGAACCGACUAAUGUUGAAAAAUUAGCGGAUGACUUGUGGCUGGGGGUGAAAGGCCAAUCAAACCGGGAGAUAGCUGGUUCUCCCCGAAAGCUAUUUAGGUAGCGCCUCGUGAACUCAUCUUCGGGGGUAGAGCACUGUUUCGGCUAGGGGGUCAUCCCGACUUACCAACCCGAUGCAAACUACGAAUACCGAAGAAUGUUAUCACGGGAGACACACGGCGGGUGCUAACGUCCGUCGUGAAGAGGGAAACAACCCAGACCGCCAGCUAAGGUCCCAAAGUCAUGGUUAAGUGGGAAACGAUGUGGGAAGGCCCAGACAGCCAGGAUGUUGGCUUAGAAGCAGCCAUCAUUUAAAGAAAGCGUAAUAGCUCACUGGUCGAGUCGGCCUGCGCGGAAGAUGUAACGGGGCUAAACCAUGCACCGAAGCUGCGGCAGCGACACUAUGUGUUGUUGGGUAGGGGAGCGUUCUGUAAGCCGUUGAAGGUGGCCUGUGAGGGUUGCUGGAGGUAUCAGAAGUGCGAAUGCUGACAUAAGUAACGAUAAUGCGGGUGAAAAACCCGCACGCCGGAAGACCAAGGGUUCCUGUCCAACGUUAAUCGGGGCAGGGUGAGUCGACCCCUAAGGCGAGGCCGAAAGGCGUAGUCGAUGGGAAACAGGUUAAUAUUCCUGUACUCGGUGUUACUGCGAAGGGGGGACGGAGAAGGCUAUGUUGGCCGGGCGACGGUUGUCCCGGUUUAAGCAUGUAGGCGGAUGUUCCAGGUAAAUCCGGAACGUUACUAACGCUGAGGUGUGAUGACGAGGCACUACGGUGCUGAAGUGACAAAUGCCCUGCUUCCAGGAAAAGCCUCUAAGCAUCAGGUAACAUCAAAUCGUACCCCAAACCGACACAGGUGGUCAGGUAGAGAAUACCAAGGCGCUUGAGAGAACUCGGGUGAAGGAACUAGGCAAAAUGGUGCCGUAACUUCGGGAGAAGGCACGCUGAUGGUAAGUGAAGCGACUUGCUCGUGGAGCUGAAAUCAGUCGAAGAUACCAGCUGGCUGCAACUGUUUAUUAAAAACACAGCACUGUGCAAACACGAAAGUGGACGUAUACGGUGUGACGCCUGCCCGGUGCCGGAAGGUUAAUUGAUGGGGUUAUCCGUAAGGAGAAGCUCUUGAUCGAAGCCCCGGUAAACGGCGGCCGUAACUAUAACGGUCCUAAGGUAGCGAAAUUCCUUGUCGGGUAAGUUCCGACCUGCACGAAUGGCGUAAUGAUGGCCAGGCUGUCUCCACCCGAGACUCAGUGAAAUUGAACUCGCUGUGAAGAUGCAGUGUACCCGCGGCAAGACGGAAAGACCCCGUGAACCUUUACUAUAGCUUGACACUGAACACUGGUCCUUGAUGUGUAGGAUAGGUGGGAGGCUUUGAAGUGUGGACGCCAGUCUGCAUGGAGCCAUCCUUGAAAUACCACCCUUUAAUGGCUGGUGUUCUAACGUGGGCCCCUGAUCGGGGUUGCGGACAGUGUCUGGUGGGUAGUUUGACUGGGGCGGUCUCCUCCUAAAGAGUAACGGAGGAGCACGAAGGUCAGCUAAUCCUGGUCGGACAUCAGGAGGUUAGUGCAAUGGCAUAAGCUGGCUUGACUGCGAGCGUGACGGCGCGAGCAGGUGCGAAAGCAGGUCAUAGUGAUCCGGUGGUUCUGAAUGGAAGGGCCAUCGCUCAACGGAUAAAAGGUACUCCGGGGAUAACAGGCUGAUACCGCCCAAGAGUUCAUAUCGACGGCGGUGUUUGGCACCUCGAUGUCGGCUCAUCACAUCCUGGGGCUGAAGUAGGUCCCAAGGGUAUGGCUGUUCGCCAUUUAAAGUGGUACGCGAGCUGGGUUUAGAACGUCGUGAGACAGUUCGGUCCCUAUCUGCCGUGGGCGCUGGAGAAUUGAGGGGGGCUGCUCCUAGUACGAGAGGACCGGAGUGGACGCAUCACUGGUGUUCGGGUUGUCAUGCCAAUGGCAUUGCCCGGUAGCUAAAUGCGGAAGAGAUAAGUGCUGAAAGCAUCUAAGCACGAAACUUGCCCCGAGAUGAGUUCUCCCUGACCCUUUAAGGGUCCUGAAGGAACGUUGAAGACGACGACGUUGAUAGGCCGGGUGUGUAAGCGCAGCGAUGCGUUGAGCUAACCGGUACUAAUGAACCGUGAGGCUUAACCUUAC
rnacentral:rRNA from 1 species